CCUACGGGCGGCAGCAGUGAGGAAUAUUGGUCAAUGGACGGAAGUCUGAACCAGCCAUGCCGCGUGCAGGAAGACGGCUCUAUGAGUUGUAAACUGCUUUUGUACAAGGGUAAACCUGAAUACGUGUAUUCAGCUGAACGUACUGUACGAAUAAGGAUCGGCUAACUCCGUGCCAGCAGCCGCGGUAAUACGGAGGAUCCAAGCGUUAUCCGGAUUUAUUGGGUUUAAAGGGUGCGUAGGCGGAUUGAUAAGUUAGAGGUGAAAUGUCCGAGCUUAACUCGGGAACUGCCUCUAAUACUGUUGGUCUAGAGAGUAGAUGCGGUAGGCGGAAUGUAUGGUGUAGCGGUGAAAUGCUUAGAGAUCAUACAGAACACCGAUUGCGAAGGCAGCUUACCAAGCUAUAUCUGACGUUGAGGCACGAAAGCGUGGGGAGCAAACAGGAUUAGAUACCCUGGUAGUC
rnacentral:rRNA from 1 species